UUCCCAGGGUGAGCACAACCAGCUCUGGAGCAAACAAGAGGCGCUCGGAGAAGCUGCCGCUACUAGAAGAGAAGCGCGGAUGUUGUAGUGGGCACAGCGCAUUUUGUCACCGCGGGCAGGUUGGGGCAGACUUGGGACCGCUGCGGCAGACGGCGGAGCAGCAGGCUGGCUUUUGGCACGUUACGGACCUGGGCGGACGGGAAAGCAAGACCACAAUGGUCUGCUCACCAUGUGGCAUCAUCAAUGCUGCAGAAUGAACGAGAAGAAACACUUGAGAAGUCAGUGCUGCUGCACGUUCCCUAAAUCCCAAAUCCAUGGCACAAUCAACACCAGUGACAGCAGUUAGGAAAUCAGACAUCAAGCUACAACCAGCAGUUCUGAGGUUAGACAGCGUCAGGAUACAACCAUCCAGAUGUUGUAAGAGCUGGAACUUAGAAAAGCUGAAGAAGGAUGUCAGUCACCGAGAAAAAUGAUAUAUUUACAACGCUGUCUGGUUUGGGGAAGUUAAAACACAGCGCUAAAGUUCUGCGGUGGUGAGCAAUGAGGAACGCGACAGGAGGCGACAAGGCAGCCACGCAGGCGGCAGCCCGGGGCUGGGGCUCGCCGAGCCCACGUCCCAGCUGGAGAAAGCGGUUUAAGGGGUUAUUUAUCAGCAAUUUCUCUACUGUGCACCACAGCCUUUACUAAUGUGCUUAAAACUUUGUUGAUAAACGGCAAAUUGGAGGGGGUGCAGGGAGAGGAUGAAAGAGGCUUAACGCACAGAUCCCCCCAUCUGGGAUCCUGGUGCAAGGGCUUUCUGUGGCGGG